CUCAGGUAUGCACCAAAAGGAAAUAUCGCUCUGUCACCCCCUCCGUCCCCCUCGAACCCCUCACCAUCGGACCAAUCACCUGGUCCCAAAAUGAAGUUUGAACUUCAUGAAUCCCUGUCAUGCUUCCUGUAUCCUAAA